UUAUCGUAAAUUUUUAAAUGUUGGGGUUGAUGUACCUCGUAUUAGGGCCUCCGUUUCCGGACGCGGAGCGAGAAUGCCGGAGACAGGAGGAUUUCUUCUUCUCCUCCAUUCUUCCUUGUUUACCGCGAAAUCAAAUAGAAUCAAGAAAACAAAGGAUGACAAGGCAGUGAAGGAUGAAAUGAUUCCGAAGACAUGAUGAUCGCAGACAAAAAGGGGGACCGGUGUGGCACCUGAUGGACCCAAGCUUUGAGACAGAGUAAAGUGUUGUCGAUUACAUUGCUUAAACUGCUAUUAGCAUCUUACAUCUCUCAAACAAAAGGCAAUAGAACGUUAGGUAGCCAUGCUGGUUCACCAGCAGCAUUUUCUUCGGUUGUCACAAGAAACGUUAUGAUAUUAAUUGACUCCCAAGGGUUGUAGCACCUAACUUGUAACAUUGUUUUGUUUUUGGAUUCACUUUUUCAUGGUGUUCCAUUUUAUAUUUAAAAUUGUUUCAUA